CCUACGGGUGGCAGCAGUGGGGAAUAUUGCGCAAUGGGCGAAAGCCUGACGCAGCGACGCCGCGUGAGGGAUGAAGGUCUUCGGAUCGUAAACCUCUGUCAGCAGGGAAGAACGGUAACUGUGCUAAUCAGCAGUGAAUUGACGGUACCUGCAAAGGCAGCACCGGCUAACUCCGUGCCAGCAGUCGCGGUAAUACGGAGGGUGCGAGCGUUAAUCGGAAUUACUGGGCGUAAAGCGCUCGUAGGCGGUAUGUCAAGUCAAGGGUGAAAUCCCCGCGCUCAACGUGGGAACUGCCUUUGAAACUGGCAAACUGGAGUGUGUGAGAGGAUAGUGGAAUUCCAGGUGUAGGAGUGAAAGCCGUAGAUAUCUGGAGGAACAUCAGUGGCGAAGGCGACUAUCUGGCACAUAACUGACGCUGAGGAGCGAAAGCGUGGGUAGCAAACAGGAUUAGAUACCCCAGUAGUC
rnacentral:rRNA from 1 species